GUUCAAAGAUGGCUGUGUGUCCAGACUGCUAGAUGGAUGUCUGGAUGUCCAUUUGGAUCUGCUGAGGUUGUUACAAGUCCAGUUUUGAUUCCUGUGCAAAAGAUUUGAAUAACAGCAGUGCCAACUCCUCUGGCAAAGGACAGGAAGCUAAUUUCCAGGAGCUUGAUUAUAUUUGAUGGGCACAACUUACUGCGAAAGGAUUAUCUUCUUUUCAUGCUCCCCAUGCAUGAUUGAUCAGCUCUCGUCAAGAUGAUUCUACUGGCCUAAACUCCAACUGAAAACUGAAGACCCAUCUCAAAUGACACCAUGCAUUUAAGUUUUGUUUUUGCACAACUUGA